rnacentral:rRNA from 1 species
UACGAAGGGGGCUAGCGUUGCUCGGAAUCACUGGGCGUAAAGGGUGCGUAGGCGGGUCUUUAAGUCAGGGGUGAAAUCCUGGAGCUCAACUCCAGAACUGCCUUUGAAACUGUUUAGCUUGAGGAUGAGAGAGGUGAGUGGAAUCCCCAGUGUAGAGGUGAAAUUCGUAGAUAUUGGGAAGAACACCGGUGGCGAAGGCGGCUCACUGGCUCAUUACUGACGCUCAGGCGCGAUAGCGUGGGGAUCAAACAGG